rnacentral:precursor_RNA from 16 species
CAAUCCGCGUGUGUCGCUCCCUCCAGAUGUUAAACUAUCGUUCUGGGAACAGUCGCUCUUACAAGCUGUUCCCAUGGAGAUAGCUUAGCAACUCCUCCGCAACUGGCCAGAAGUCACAA